GGUAGCUUGCUACCAGGCGUCGAGCGGCGGACGGGUGAGUAACGCGUAGGAACCUGCCAAGCAGUGGGGAAUAACAGUUGGAAACGGCUGCUAAUACCGCAUACGCCCUUCGGGGGAAAGAUUUAUCGCUGUUUGAGGGUCCUGCGUUCGAUUAGCUAGUUGGUGAGGUAACGGCCCACCAAGGCGACGAUCGAUAGCUGGUCUGAGAGGAUGAUC
rnacentral:rRNA from 1 species